rnacentral:misc_RNA from 1 species
UGUCUAAUUGUCCAGCACUCCAUUGUAUUAAUAUCACGUCAAACUCGCUUCAAAAAUUAGCAUUGCAGAAACAAGAAAACCUCACAACUUUGGCAUUACAAUGCCAAUGUUUGCAAGAAGUAGACCUCACAGAUUGUGAAUCUCUAACAAAUUCUGUUUGCGAAGUUUUUAGUGAUGGCGGGGGGUGCCCUAUGCUAAAAACAUUGGUUCUUGAUAAUUGUGAGAACUUGACGGCCGUGCAAUUCUGCAGUACCUCUUUAGUGAGUCUUUCCCUAGUUGGUUGCCGUGCUAUUACUUCUCUUGAACUGACAUGCCCUCGUCUUGAGAAACUUUGUCUGGAUGGUUCUGAUCACCUUGAGAGAGCAUCAUUUUCCCUUGUUGCUCUUCAGUCACUGAAUUUGGGAAUUUGUCCCAAAUUAAAUAUACUUAAUAUUGAAGCACCAUAUAUGGUGUCACUUGAGUUGAAAGGAUGUGGUGUGUUGUCUGAAGCAACGAUCAACUGUCCUCUUCUAACAUCUCUGGAUGCUUCCUUCUGUAGCCAACUUAAGGAUGACUGCUUGUCAGCAACAACUGCGUCCUGCCCAUUGAUUGAGUCAUUAAUAUUGAUGUCUUGCCCAUCUGUUGGUUCUGAUGGACUUUACUCUUUGCGCUGGCUUAAACAUCUGACUCUGCUAGAUUUGUCGUAUACUUUCUUGAUAAAUCUGCAGCCAGUUUUUGAGUCUUGUUUGCAACUGAAGGUAUUAAAAUUGCAAGCUUGCAAGUAUCUUAAUGACACGUCAUUGGAGCCUCUUUACAUUGAAGGUGCUCUGCCAGUGCUUCAGGAGUUGGACUUGUCUUAUGGGACCCUCUGUCAGUCUGCAAUAGAGGAGCUUCUUGCUUGCUGUACUCAUCUGACUCAUUUGAGCUUGAAUGGCUGUGUGAAUAUGCAUGACCUGAAUUGGGGAUAUAGUGGAGGUCAGCUUUCUGAGUUGCCAAGUGUAUAUAAUUCAUCUGCUCUGCUUUCCGACGAGAAUAUCCAUGAGCCAAUUGAGCAGGCAAACCGUUUGCUACAGAACCUCAAUUGUGUGGGUUGUCCAAAUAUUAGGAAAGUUCUCAUUCCACCAAUGGCACGAUGUUUCCAUUUGUUGUCACUAAACCUGUCUUUAUCUGCCAAUUUGAAGGAAGUUGAUGUUGCUUGUUUUAAUUUGUGUUUUCUUAAUUUGAGUAAUUGUUGCGCUUUGGAGGUGUUGAAGCUUGAGUGCCCAAGACUGACAAGUCUCUUUCUCCAGGUAUGUGCUUGAUUUCUAUCCCUGAUUGAAUACCCAAUCACCGUCUUGGUACAGCUCAGCUGGAUGGGGCAAAGGAAAGAAUAGUGGGAUAUCCAUCUUUGGGUUGUAUAAUGCAGGAAGGAAGUUCUAUUUUUGGAUUUUGAUAACUGCCACGUCUAAUAUGCUAGUAAAUCAGAUUUGCUAGUAUUAAUUCUGCUGGCAGCUGUUGCUAGUUCUUUAGAAGUAUAUCCAGGACUGCUUAGGAAGGCGCAAGAGCUUAUUUUUUCUGAGGCAUGCCCAGGAAAGGCGGGCAUUGUUUGACUGUGGUUUUGCAUUUAUUUCUCUUCUUGGAUUUAUCUCCUUUUCUUACCCUUCUCCAAAAGUGUGCGUUCUUUUUGGAUUAACUAUUGUUUUAUCCUUUGGGUCUGGGUGAAGGUAGACUGCUUCAUGAAAUAGUGUUUUAUGAAUAUUUGUUUUAAUGGGCUUGCAGUCUUGUAACAUUGAUGAGGAAGACGUAGAAGCUGCCAUAUCUCGAUGUAGCAUGCUGGAGACUCUGGAUGUGCGUUUUUGUCCUAAGAUAUGCUCAAUAAGCAUGGGGAGAUUGCGCUCAGCAUGCCCGAGUUUGAAGCGUGUCUUUAGCAGCUUCUCACCUCCAUGAUGUGAAUAAAGAAUUUUGUCUGAUUUUUCCAAUGGUGAUUCACUUUGAGGUGAAGCGGCGGCUUUAUUUGGUGUGAUAUCUUCUGUUUCACUUGCUGUGUUGUAAAUGCACUGCUGUCUUGUUGAUGUUGUGGUAUAUAGGCACUUGUGGUAGCCGAGUUAAUGCAAUAAUACAAUUAAAAACCUACUAAUAUCCACCUCCGCCUUUUCGAGUCUCCACAGAUUCUUUUUGAAUGCACCAAUUCUGUGAUGAGUUCAGAAUUGGAGGAAUCUCCAAUUUUCCAUCAACAAAUUUUUAACUAAUGGCAAUACAAAAACAUCAACGGAUAGGAGUUGGCGCUUUUCCUUCCAUCAUCCCUUGCCAUUUGCUGUGAUGCUGCCGCUUGUCAAUUAGCCACUCUCACGGGUUGCAACUGCCAUGCUAAUUGCCAAAUGCACCUUCGCAGUGACGCCCCUUGCUAAUUGCCCUUCUCUUUUUGAUUUGUUUUGCUGUUGGAAUUUUUUUGAAUGAUUGGUGGCUAAUCCUGGGAUUAGGGAUGAGGUAAUGGGAACUGGGUAGGGGAAGUGAAACAAUAUCGUUUUUGUUAAGACACUUUCUUUGGCUUCUUAUUCAAAAUUGAUAAAUCAAAUCGAAUUAAGUUAG